UACGAAGGGGGCUAGCGGUGUGCGGAGUUACUGGGCGUAAAGCGCGUGUCGGCGGGGCGUUAAGUUGGGGGUGAAAUCCCGGAGCUCAACUCCGGAACUGCCUUCAAAACUGGCGACCUGGACUCAAGCAGAGGCAAGUGGAAUUGCGAGUGUAGAGGUGAAAUUCGUAGAUAUUCGCAGGAACACCAGUGGCGCAGGCGCCUUGGUGGGCUUGUAGUGGCGCUGAGACGCGAAAGCGUGGGGAGCAAACAGG
rnacentral:rRNA from 1 species